rnacentral:rRNA from 1 species
AUUGAACGCUGGCGGCAGGCCUAACACAUGCAAGUCGAACGGUAACAGGAAGAAGCUUGCUUCUUUGCUGACGAGUGGCGGACGGGUGAGUAUGUCUGGGAAACUGCCUGAUGGAGGGGGAUAACUACUGGAAACGGUAGCUAAUACCGCAUAACGUCGCAAGACCAAAGAGGGGGACCUUCGGGCCUCUUGCCAUCGGAUGUGCCCAGAUGGGAUUAGCUAGUAGGUGGGGUAACGGCUCACCUAGGCGACGAUCCCUAGCUGGUCUGAGAGGAUGACCAGCCACACUGGAACUGAGACACGGUCCAGGCUCCUACGGGAGGCAGCAGUGGGGAAUAUUGCACAAUGGGCGCAAGCCUGAUGCAGCCAUGCCGCGUGUAUGAAGAAGGCCUUCGGGUUGUAAAGUACUUUCAGCGGGGAGGAAGGGAGUAAAGUUAAUACCUUUACUCAUUGACGUUACCCGCAGAAGAAGCACCGGCUAACUCCGUG